rnacentral:rRNA from 1 species
AAACCGAGCGACAGCGAGACAGAGAAAACUAGGGAUCCGCCGCCGCCGCCGCCGCCUCGCCCGCCACCCGUCCGUGCGUCGCCGCUCUACCCCCGGUCCACCCGUUCGACCGUCGCCGCCCACUCCGCCCGCCGUCGGUGCCCUCCGAGCUCCUCCCCUCCCGGUCAUCGCCCGCCGGCCGGCCGUGCCCAAAAGCGCCUCACAGAAUCACUGGUCAGCGCGUGGUCUUCCUCCACCUCCACCUCACAGCCCGCCGUCUUCCGCCCCAAGGACGACGAGAUCUCCCUCCUCACCGUCAACAUCACCACAGGCUUCAGCCCCACGAUAAUGGAGUGUGCAGCGAAGGGGAUAGUGGAGGAUCCAUGCGCCAGCGGCGCCAACCGGCGGUGCGGCAGCUGCGGGGCCGUAGCCUACUGCUCGAAAGACCACCAGUUCAUACAUUGGAAAGUUCAUAAAGAAGAAUGUGCAAGGCUUGCAACACAAAUGAGUCGCAUUGAUAUGCUCAGCCAAUUUCCGUUCACAUUCUCCGUCGAACCUCAUGCUCUGAAUCAUACAAAACGAAGUAUGAGGUGCUUAUUUUUGGAGUCAAUGAAAGUUCACCUGAAAGGACUCUGGAAAUCAGGAUGCAUGUGUGGCCCAGAUAUUGCUUCUGUCAAGGACCUGAGCAUAACAACUGAAUGGAACAUGGAAAGCUCACUUUGCCCAUGUACAGAGCCUGAAAAUCCUGUGCCCGCACCCCUGGCAAGCUGGGAAGACUACUUUCAGUGGAGAUCCCUUCCUUUACAUUCACCUGUGGCAGUUUUACUUCACUGGCCACUUACUCUAUAUCAUUGCCUUCAACUAUCUCGCAUCCAAACCUCAAGAUAUGAUGGGCAUGACACUCUGCACAUUCACUAUUUAGGACCUGAGAAAGAGUUGCUUCAGCUUGCGGUGUUUGCAGAACUACGUGCACUAUUUCCAGGUGUCCACCUUCGCAUUGAACUUGUGGGGCCAGCAGUUCCAAGAUCCAGGGAUGGUGAAGUUGUAAAUAUUUCCAGCUAUCCAAAUUGUUCUGGUGAGAGCUGCCAUUGUAGAUCUUCUAUUGCCUCUGAGAACUUGAAUUGCAGUGAGGUGACACUGAAAAUAUGGAAAGGACUCUAUCAUGAGAGAUAUGGUGAUAUAGUAAAGGAUUCAAAUCCUCAUCUUAUACUUGCCCCAAAUGCGGGUGUAGCUGCUUAUCCUAGUUGGAUGCCAACUAUUGAAAUGAUUAGGGGAAUUGGAGUUCCUGCAAUCUUUACCGACUUUUGCGAAGAAGCUGCUCAUCUGGCCUCUUGCUGCAUAAGCUCCAUAACUGGCCAACCCCUGGGACUCCCUAUACAGGUAAAUCCUUUCAGGCAGCCGAUUGCAGAGAACAAUAGUGCGCUAUACAUACCAUGCUACUCGAAUGGUUUUGUUUUUGGAAUGUAAAUAGCCAUUUUAGCCCCCUUUUUAUCAUCAGAAAAUAUUCAGACGUUCAUAUGUGGAGGUAUGACAAUGUAACUUUUCAUACUUAUAGAGCAAGAUAGUACAAACUAUGUUUUACAUGGAUGAUAUUUCUCUUGGUUGUUUCCGG